rnacentral:pre_miRNA from 1 species
AAAGUACUCCCUUCGUCCCAAAAUUCUUGUCUUAGAUUUGUCUAGAUAUGGAUGUAUCAAGUCACAUUUUAGUAUUAGAUACAUCCGUAUCUAGAUAAAUCUAAGACAAGAAAUUUGGGACAGAGGGAGUAGUUG